GCAAGUAUGGCAUAGUGGUUCAAGUGUUGGGACUAUGAGUCCGGAGACCAGGGUUCAAUUCCCAGCUUUGCCA